UCGUAGAUUUUAGGACUUUGACAACGACUAAUUUACACAUUCAUUCCCUUGGGCUAGAAGUGUGAAAUAGAACCGCAGCAAACAGAACUCUUAACUCCGCCUAUCAAAUGUGAAUAAAGCGCGUGCACGCGAGGGGAGUAUGAUUUGUCCGGGGAGUCGGAUUUCGGUACAACACCUACCGUAGGACAGCCCCUGCUGAUACCAUCAGUAGCUGCAUUUCCAUUACCCUUCAAAUUGCGCAAAUUGAAAUGGAGCAUUGAAAAUACGCCCAAGAAUGAAAACAUGUAAAUUUCUUAAAAACUCCAAUGCAUCGGAAAGUGUUUUUUAUCGCUCGCAAGUGUUUUCAGGCAAUACGACAAAGGCAUAUUUCGCAAAACUGCAUUGGAAAAGUUUUUGUAUUUACAAAUCACCGUGCGUACAAAAGUCACAUGACCAUUGUUUGGCAGAACAUUUGGAGAGGUUGCUACUUGCUGCUCUCUACUAUAGUCAUGUAUAUGGAUGCUACUAGUUGGGUGAAUAAAGUCAGAGGGCCAAAAUGCAAAAUGAUGAACAUUUUCUGCUUUCAUGUAAAACGUCACCAUCAUGCAACUACGUAGAGAUACUGAGGCUGCUUAUCGAGGAGGUGGUCUUCAGUCCUGGCCCAGACUAACAGCUGAUCAUUGAACAGAAGGUUCCAGAGCACUGCUGCUUUUGACAGGACCGACCUACAGGCAGCAAUAGUAUUAGAUUUUAUUUAGUGAUAUAACUUUUAAGAUUGAUUGAUAUUGUUUGUAUCUAUCGGUCUCAUUAAAGUGACACACGCCCACUGUAAAGGGGGUUUAAAUUCAGCAAACAGGUCAUCAAGCACGAUUCACUGUGAAUAGAUCGCCAGUUAUUUGAGACGAUAUUAUAAAAAUAAGAAUACUGUAACAGUGAAAAGGUUUUCCUGGAAUAAAAAAACACCCGAUGGAGUGCAGGAUGGGCUACAUCAUCAUCUUACUUUACUCAUACAUAAGUUAUGGGGUAAUUUUUUUCCCUAGUGAAUAUGCCUUAACACCAUUUUUU